UGGAAAUUACAGGUUCAGGCAGUUAAAAGAUGAAGAGAAGAAGAAGAAAGUAAGCAAGGCGUUGAUAGCAGAAGAAGUUCAGGCUCUAGAUUCAGCAUCUGAUUCUGAUGGGGAAUCAGAUGAUGAGACAAAGGGCAAGGGUGAUGAAACUCUUGAAGUAUAUGCUUCCAAUGACAGAAAACAAGUUCCUAAUAUUUCUCAGCCAAGACGAAGCAAGAGAUCUAAGCAGAAGCGUGCUGUAUAAGAAGAUUGUACACUGAAAGCUUAUGGUGAGUCUUGUAUAUCUAAAGGAAUUGUAUUAUUUUUAAUGUAGUGGCAAUUUUGAUGUAGUCUUAUUCAAGAUAUAUUGCAAAAUCAUGAAGACAACAGUCUUAUUAAAAAAAA